rnacentral:lncRNA from 1 species
GGUCGGAACACCCUGCCACUGAAUGAUUGGAUCUUGAAAUCUGUGCCCUCCCACCAGGUGUCCAUGGGUAUAUAAGACCACACAGCAUGCCUCUGAAGCCAGAGAGUCCUAGACACAGCUUCUAGAACAGGACAGGAGGAAAGACCAGGCCCUCUUUCAGAGAAUCUCAGUAGCUGUUCAAGGAAACCUCAGGAUAAUGAUGGCAGGAAAACACAUCGUGGAAGACCAGAUCAAGGAGGAGUACAGCCUGUUUGGAGGCCCAGACAAAUUGAAGCCUCUCAGAGACACACUGAUGGGUGGCCUGUAUGGAGAUCACUUGAAGACUCCUGGAUCAGAGGAAGGGUUCGCAACACAGGGGGAUGAAGGAAAGUACCAAGAGGGUCCAGAGGACCCCUUGUUUUCAUUGGCCUAUGCCUUUGGUAUUAGCCAGACUUUGAUGAACAAGACCUCAUGGCCCAUCAGGAAGGCUCCCUGUGUCUCCUGCUGGAGCACGGAGAGAUUGCCAGAAGCCUUUCCAUGCCUCAACAUUUCGUCUUGCUUGGUCUGUCUUUGGACAUGGGGUAACACCAGCUCUUGUCAAGAGGUCCAGAGCCAGUACCCAGUGGCCAGGGCAGCCAGUGCAUUGUCUUGCUUGAAGGGAUUCCAGCCCCCUGAUAACUCAGGCUCUCCAGCCUCUUGCGUGGACUGUCUUUGGACAUGGGGUAACACCAGCUCUUGUCAAGAGAUCCAGAGCCAGUACGCAGUGGCCAGGGCAGCCAGUGCAUUGUCUUGCUUGAAGGGAUUCCAGCCCCUUGAUAACUCAGGCUCUCCAGCUUUGGCUGUGGACACUUUGAGCCACCGUCCCCAAGAGGGAUG